ACGUAGGGGGCGAGCGUUGUCCGGAGUUACUAGGCGUAAAGGGCACGCAGGCGGUGCUGCGCGUUUCGCGUGACAGCGGAGGGCUUAACUCUCCGAGGAUGCGAAAGACGGCAGGACUUGAGGGCCAGAGAGGGACACGGAAUUCCGGGUGGAGUGGUGAAAUGCGUAGAGAUCCGGAGGAACACCGAAGGCGAAGGCAGUGUCCUGGCUGGUGACUGACGCUGAGGUGCGAAAGCUAGGGGAGCGAACGGGA
rnacentral:rRNA from 1 species